ensembl:lncRNA
UUUUCUCUGCUACUACUUACACUUUGGUAAAGGAGGCUAGAGGGGUUGAAUUUGAUGAGUAUAAGAAAAUUGUUGCUGAACUAAAAAUGCAGAAGUGAAUUGUUUGUGAUGGGGUUAAUGUUCAAGAUUGGCCAUUCUUUUAAAAUAAGUAACUCCUACAGAGGUUUUUUAGGAGCUUAAGUAGGAUUUUUUUUUUUAAGUUGCCUACAUUGAAGAGAACAGCUUCGUUCUAUAGUACAGAAUGAACCUUUUUAGUUGUGUUUUAGCUUGAAAUAUAAUUGGCUAAUAAUUUAGGCUUGCUUGUGAUCUGUUUGCUUGUGCUUUGAAAGCAGGUAUCUGAGGCUGAUAGACAAGAACUAGAUGCAAAAUGAAGAGAGGUACUUCAUUUGUAAGUAGGGAGUUCUGGUGAACCUGGAGUAAGAAAUCUACAUGCUCCCUGAAGCUGGAGAACAGGUUGUACUGGUAGUGGCAGUUGCUGUGACCCAGGUGCAAGACCUUGCACUUGGAUUUGUUUGAACCUCAUGAUGUUCUUCUGGGCCUACUGCUCCAGCAUGUCUAGGUCAUGCUCGUUGGCAUUCUGUCUAUCAGGAUUUCUCUAUGUUGCUAUAAUCCCAGCUGCAGCCAUGCUAGCAUAUGAGAACAAGACAUAAAAAGAGUUUUUCCACUUGAUGAAGUAGACAUGUUAAAUUUCACUGUCCGAACUUUCUUGAAAUUCAGAAUAUAAUGACUGGUUGGGAGAUUAUCCAUGGUAGUUUUAAACUUAGAAUAUAUGCAUUUUUCAUCUGCACUUAAGCAAGUAAAGGUAACGGCUUAAAGAAUUACUUAAGAAUAUUGGAUCAUAUACUAAGUGACUUCAAGGCAGUGGGGUUCAGCAUUUGAAGAUAAUUUUCUUCAUGUUGUAAUACGUCUAGUGAAGAUCUGUAUAUGAGUAGUAAUAAUAAAAUUCUUUAUAAUUCUUUUGUGUUAAUUCUUUAAACUUUUUCUAAGAGGUUAAGUUUACCUUUUUUAAUGUGAGUACUGACAGAGGUAACAAAGAAUUAGUUCAGAUCUCAAAAAUUUUCAUCUAAAAUUACUUCUGCUAAAAUAAAUGUCACUGUUUUUUGUUGUUGUUUUUUCUCUCUUCAUCUUUCUAAUUGACAAUCAUGAUGCCAGUCCAUUGUUCUACAAAAGGUUGUCUUUCAUCUUUAACUUAUGUUGACGGAUAAGAGAUCUAUAAGCAAAUAUGUCUUCUACAUGACAUUAAUAUUUUAACUGUCCAAAUCAAAUUGUUAUUAUAAUUGCACAGGAACAGCUAGAGCUGAAAUAAAAGUUGCUUUUU